UGGAAAAUGUGUUUAAUUAAUUGAAAAAAGUUAUGUUGCUAAGACUCUUAUCGUCAAAAAUGAUUUGUUUCUUAUUUCUUUUGUAUCUUAUGAGUUUUCAAGAUGAAAUUAUUGAAUCGAGAUUCACAGAGGUUGUAGUCAUUUGUAUUUUGCUAGCUAGCAGUUUGUGCUAGAUGCUGUAUUACGGCCCUACCAGACAAUGGCAAAAGUGGGUAUAGCAGAAACAGACUGGCACUAGAUUUAGCUUCUGUCUAGAGAUGCCUACGGGCAUCAUGGGUGAAUAAGACCAAAGCACAUCUUGACACCAAGUUAGUUAGUUAAAAGUUACACGCUAAACAUGUAUCCAGGAUCAAAUAUUUCCUCACUUCCUUUGUAGUAAUAGAUAUGGUUGGAGGUGUAGAUCAGUGGUUGGGGGAGUGAAACUUCGACCCGGUGUUGUCUUGGCUGACCUUAGAGUUUUGUGUGGUUGCCAUGGGAACAGAGUCACCCCGAGCCCUACCCUAAUCGAUCUGUCCAAUUACAGGACAGAGUCACUUUACACCUGUGACGUCCCUUCGCGGAGGUGUUCUGUCUUGUGGGGUUUCGCUUUUCAAAUGUUCUGUGACGUCGAAAAACUACCAAUUUAACUAAUUUACUUUUGGAUUUGGGGCUCAUCGUUUUCUCACGGGUGGAUUCAGGGGACGGGUUUCAGAUACUGACUCGGUCGUGAUCCUCUGUCCUGCACCAUCUUGCGAAUCAGAUGGAUAUUGGCUUCACUCCCAAGGGUGUAUGUUUACAGAUCUUUGCCCUUAGAGGGAGCCACGUGACGUUUCUAGAGCAGUAAACCGUGACUCCGUCCCAAAGCUCUUUAACGUUUCUGUUCCUCAUGGCCUUCGUGGAGGUCAACCGUGAGGGAGAAUAGACACAGGAAGGAGACUAAACGAGGCCUGUGGGUGAUGAAAGGAGACGCCGGAUUACGUUGGGACUAUUGGGACAGAGUCGUUGUGGCUUACUUACGGUUUCCGUGGUUACACGGGUCAGACACUCCUGGUCUCUGAUAUCCACUGUACAUUCACACACACCCAGGAAGUGUUUUUCUCUCCACUAGUCAAAACGAAUCCCCUGACCAAGGCCUGAAACUCUGCUUUUUGUGUUCUUCUGUAUUACUGCUAAAUGUCAGCAUAUAUAUUUUGAUAUAUUUAAAAAAACGGGGAUCUAAAAGUCUAGAUAU
ensembl:lncRNA